CUCAGGCAUUUGCCAUCAACCC
rnacentral:misc_RNA from 1 species